GUUGACCUACGGGGCGCAGCAGUGGGGAAUAUUGCGCAAUGGGGGCAACCCUGACGCAGCAACGCCGCGUGAUUGAAGAAGGCCUUCGGGUUGUAAAGAUCUUUAAUCGGGGACGAAUUUCAACGGUACCCGAAGAAUAAGCUCCGGCUAACUACGUGCCAGCAGCCGCGGUAAUACGUAGGGAGCAAGCGUUAUCCGGAUUUACUGGGUGUAAAGGGCGUGUAGGCGGGCAUGCAAGCCAGAAGUGAAAUCUGGGGGCUUAACCCCCAAACUGCUUUUGGAACUGCGUGUCUUGAGUGCUGGAG
rnacentral:rRNA from 1 species